rnacentral:rRNA from 1 species
GAGUUUGAUCCUGGCUCAGGACGAACGCUGGCGGCGCGCCUAACACAUGCAAGUCGAACGAGCGAGAGAGAGCUUGCUUUCUCAAGCGAGUGGCGAACGGGUGAGUAACGCGUGAGGAACCUGCCUCAAAGAGGGGGACAACAGUUGGAAACGACUGCUAAUACCGCAUAAGCCCACGGCUCGGCAUCGAGCAGAGGGAAAAGGAGCAAUCCGCUUUGAGAUGGCCUCGCGUCCGAUUAGCUGGUUGGUGAGGUAACGGCCCACCAAGGCGACGAUCAGUAGCCGGCCUGAGAGGGUGAACGGCCACAUUGGGACUGAGACACGGCCCAAACUCCUACGGGAGGCAGCAGUGGGGAAUAUUGCACAAUGGGGGAAACCCUGAUGCAGCAACGCCGCGUGAGUGAAGAAGUAUCUCGGUAUGUAAACUUCUAUCAGCAGGGAAGAUAGUGACGGUACCUGACUAAGAAGCCCCGGCUAACUACGUGCCAGCCGCCGCGGUAAUAC